GCUUUUAUUACAAUUACAGAUUAAGCCCACAUGGAAUUAGGGUUAGUCUUCCAUCAUCCUCUUGCUCCUGCGACCUACACGAUGAAAUCCCACAGAGAUGAAGAUCGCCGUUUUGAUCUCCGUAACAUCUCAACAAUCCAUAAAUAUGUUCUUUACUUUGAGUUUUUUGUGAUUGAUCCACUCCUCCCACUUCAAACACAGCGUCAAGCUCUCAAAUCGCAAAAACUAACAACUCUUCUCAACUCCUCCGGUGAGGACACUGUAGGGAGGUCGUUGAGGCUCCUUCGAUUUUGGGAGUCUCUGAAUGUCAAAGCAGGGUCGGCUGAUGGGUGUUGAUAUAUUGCUGCUUGAUUCCAAGUUGCUAGCAUUUUAAACAUAUUCCAACGGCUGUUGUUGGAAAAAUUAUGGGGAUUCGAACAGCUUACAGUGAAGAGAGUCAGAGUAUACAGCGCAUGAUGAUCACCCUAAUCAUUGGAGCUCUGAUGUAUGCAAGUAUUUGACGGCUUAGCUAAGCUCCUUGAAGAGAAUUUGCUGAGUAGGAACGAAGAACCCGAGGUUUUGGUUGCAACUAACAUCAACCCUAAAUUAGUAGGCGCGGCUAUUCCUGAAUAAGACAUCCACCACUCAUUUAUAUUUAGAUAAUGAGUGUGUUGCUGGUGCAAGUUAUCUUCAGAGGGUGUGUUGCAGUAAGGAAUGCUCAACCUCUAACCCGAAGAAGUAUGUGUUGUCAAGAAAAUUGAGCCAUUGACUUUGGCCAAAUUGCAGCGUGGGUUCACAUCAUUCACAUGUGUUUCAUGCAAUGAGGAGAACGUUGCUGGAGUUAUAAGAUGAGCGUCUCUGAUGCUACUGAAACUUCGAAUUUUGUUGCUUUGACACUGAAGUCACUAAACUGACCAGUAUACGUGAUGCCGAUGUCCCAACGAGCAGGGAGGUGGUGGACAAAACCCCAGGAUUGGGACCUUCUACUAGGUCUAUAUGGAUGGUUACUCAGGAAAGAAGCCACAGACUGACUAACUUAGAAAGAAGUGGAGCUUUUUGAAAAAAAAAAGAAAAAAAAGAAAAGAAAGAAGAACGAAGAAAGAAGAAAGAAGUGGAGCUUCGAUUACAAAACAUAAUGACCUGUACGUUGCUUUUCUUUGAAAAUAAUAUUUCCAGACACUGAAGUCUGAGUACUUCAAAACUUUGACAUAUUUUGAUUUUAUGCUUUACUUUUUUCGUAAAUGCACCGUCUCGGACGUUUUGCAGUUGAAAAAUAAAAAGAAAAGUUGAUUCUC